AGCGAACGCUGGCGGCAGGCUUAACACAUGCAAGUCGAGCGGGCAUAGCAAUAUGUCAGCGGCAGACGGGUGAGUAGCGCGUGGGAACCUACCUUUUGGUUCGGAACAACUGAGGGAAACUUCAGCUAAUACCGGAUAAGCCCUUACGGGGAAAGAUUUAUCGCCGAAAGAUCGGCCCGCGUCUGAUUAGCUAGUUGGUGAGGUAAUGGCUCACCAAGGCGACGAUCAGUAGCUGGUCUGAGAGGAUGAUCAGCCACAUUGGGACUGAGACACGGCCCAAACUCCUACGGGAGGCAGCAGUGGGGAAUAUUGGACAAUGGGCGCAAGCCUGAUCCAGCCAUGCCGCGUGAGUGAUGAAGGCCCCAGGGUUGUAAAGCUCUUUUGUGCGGGAAGAUAAUGACGGUACCGCAAGAAUAAGCCCCGGCUAACUUCGUG
rnacentral:rRNA from 1 species